rnacentral:lncRNA from 1 species
UCAGAGCAGCAUGUUAGGGAGAUGGAGUUAUCUCAGUUAUAUGCAGACUGGACAGAGAAACUUCAGACACUGAGAUGGACUAAAAGGAUACUUCCCUUUUUCAGAUUGUUUAGGUCACUCUGUGGAUACAAGAUGGAGCUCCCACCAUGCAAAAUUUGAUUUGGAUGUCUAGACUGAUGAUGCCACACACACACUCUAAGAAGGUCAGAUACAAGAAAGUCCCUGCCCUUGCCUUGGUGGAGACCAGAUGGGGUUACUUCAUCCAGAUAGAAUGGCUUCUUGGCAUCUGGUUGUUGACUUCCUUGGCUUCCACUUGCUGCCAGGUUCGUGGUCCAUGUAACCUGGCUUUUGUCUCACACCUUGGGUCUUUAAUAUGAAGACCCUGCUGCUUAAGCCAGGAAAAAUUGUUUUGCCUUUUGCCUCCCCGCCCCCCUCAACUGUAUCAGCUGAACUGAGGAUAGGAAGUCUUUAAUAUGAAGAAAAAAGUAAUUUGAUAUAGUACUGCCAAUUCAAGGCCAUAGUAUGUCACAAUACAGUCAUUCCUUAUCCUAUUGGAUUUGAUGCCUUUUUAAAAAAUCAAGUUACUUAUAGUUGUAAUAUAAUUAUAUGAAUGUUGAUUGAGUAUAACACAAAUUAAUUAAAAGUAAUAGAACUAAAAAAGCUAGAUUGAGAAGGAAAAGGUUGAAACAAAAACUUCUGAAAGUCUUUUGAGUCUUUCUAAAUGUACUAUUUCAUCUUCUUGUUCUAACAUAGGAAAAUUGCCUGAGUCACAAUACAAAAACAAAAUCAAAUCUUCACUUUUAAACAAAACAUUAUAUUCUCCUUUACCCAUUCAAAUUCUAUAGAAAUAAAGCAUAAAAAAUAAAGUAAAAUAAUUGUACCUUAUUCUUUUCAGUGGGUUAAAAUGCACUAUGGAAUUUUAUUAUAGGUACUAUUAAUUUGCUUAACGAAGCAUUUCUUCCCACAUAGUGAAAUACAAACUUUAGUGUAGACCAUAUUAAAUAAUGCAAAAUAAUCCUAAAUUUUUGGAAAGUUUGGAAAGUUAUAUGAUCGAUUAUUCUAAUUCUUUAAUCUGUGUUUCUGGUUCAAACUCUCCUUUUCUAAUUUUCUGGGUAACUUUCAGCUA